GAACCCCUGAGCAUAUGCUUUCCGUCGUAGAAUUCCAUCCGCAGUGCGUCAAAAAACCUCCAAUUGCAGCAUGAGCCAACACCCUCCGUUGUGGGCACCAGCUCGUGAAGAAGCUCCUUCCCUCGGUCCGGUCUAAUGACCCAAAGAAACGCGCAUCCACUGUUGGCCAAACCCCACCCGAACUCCACGGCCUGCUCGCUCGUCAAGCUUGUCAAGCUACCAAAGUUGACGUACAACACGGACCCUGACUCCUUUUCGUCUAGCCAUUCCAUGCAUCGCGAGUCCUCUCUCCACAUGUUCAGUCCACCGAUCGAUGAGGUCGAUGAAUCAUCGGGAAUGUGCUGGGAAACCAGGCACAUGGGACCGAUAUCGAACACCGGCGCCGGCAGCAUCGAUGAACACGCACUGAGCAAUGGCGAUUCUAAUUCAGAAAAAGUGUUGAAGAUGAUUGCCGUGGCUUGGUGAGAUGCACGCGCUCCGUCCAUGGAAAAGUUGAGCGAUGCGUCGUCUCGGUCGGUGGUUCGAAUGAAACUAGUCAAAUCUCUCAGCCGGACUGUUACCAUUCCUGGUAUCCAAUCAACGACAAUGUCCAGGUACCCAUUUGUAAGAUCGUUUUCACCUAAUUAAGUCCAUGAAUCAACCUCAAACUCGAUUAGACUCGAUUAUCUUAUCAAAUAAAUUUGAGCACCUCAAAUUUGGACUUCGACUCGACUCGGCUCGGCCGACCUAAUUAAUAUAUAUGACACGUUAAUACUUACUUUUCAAAGGGACGAGGCCCCUCUCGAUCAAGUCCUUGGAGUAGUACAAGUCCGUGAAGCCACACGCGGCCACUGUGCAGUAGAACACGUUAGGGAUCCCCAAUUUGGUGGUGGCGUUGAGGGUGAAGGUGGCGAAGGAAUCUGAGAUGACGCAUCUAACGGGUGGGACGCUGGAUAUGCUCGGAUCGUUCAGCGCGGAUAUGAGCCUGAGGAAAGAAGCAGGGCAGUGCUUUUGGGCGGCGAGAACGCGAUUUCUAGCGUCUUGUCUGUAUAAUUGGUCGCUAUCGUCGGGGGCGUCGGAGAUGCUGGCGAAGCGGAAGUCAGGGAGGCCGUCGAGAGCGGAGAGUGAUCCGAGAAGUUGGCGGUGGGCGUAGUCGGUGUUGACGAAGGUUAUGAAGAAGCCCUUGAAGUGGAGGACUUUGGCCAGGUUGAGCAUGGAGUUGAUGUGGCCUUGCAAGGGGAGAGCCAUGCAGACGAGAUGAGUUUUGGUGGAGGAGCGCUCCAUCUUUGCCUCGGACAGGACGGCCAGUUCAACCUUCGUCUGUCUGGGAUGAUCUGUGCCCUGGGACUAUGGAAGCUGUGCCUGUGUAGUGAAGAAGGUCAAGAUAAUGGGCAAAAAUUAGAAGGCGGCUUAUUUUUUAUAAGCAUAAAUAAUGGACAAUUGGAAUCAUAUUUAAUUGGUUAAUUAAGUGAGAGUAAGUAGAGAAUAUAAAAUUUGAUGUUAAUCCAACCUAUUAUUAUCUCUAUUCUUGCGAUGGCUUCGUGAAUUGCCUCAUUCAACAAUUUUGCAUUUGUGUAGUCUUGUUUACAUCCAAUCGUUGUGCAGAGUGGUAAAAGAUGAUUUGUUUCUCCUUA